ACGACUGUAGCUCAAAUGGCAAGAGUGCCGGAGUACUAAUCUGGAGGUCGCGGGUUCCAAUCCCGACCGUGGUC
rnacentral:tRNA from 1 species